rnacentral:misc_RNA from 1 species
UUUUAGUUUAGCUUAUUGAAUUCAGGAGUAGGACUCAUAAAGAUAAUUGCCAAAAACUUAACUACAGCACAUUUUGAACAGAAGGUUGGAGAUGUGGUUUAAAUUUUUUUUUCAAGAAAAAGGGUUAAAGUAAUUUAAAGUUUAUCCCUUUUUUGCAGUAACUUAGUAGUAGAGAUAGUACCGUACUAUGUCAGUACUUCAAAAAAGUUAAGCUUUAACCAUGUUAAUGGCCCAAAACUUUGAUAGAAAAUUGAGGUAUAUUUACCCAUGAAUCAUGAACUGGGCAUCUAUUUGGCAUUGAUUUUGUUGGGAUCUAGAAAUAUUUUUGCAUGUGAACAUACAGGAAAACCAUUUUUUGUUUUGCCUUAAAUUUUUCUUAUAUGUACACACACUAACACGUCUAAUAGAAUUUGUACCUAUUCAAAAGGUUGAGAAGACGUUUGUCCUAUCCAUCAGACGAUAGAAAGUUUCUAUUCCAUCUUUUGUUUUUCCUUUUCUAUAUUUCUUUUGCUUUGAUAAUGAGGAACUUCGAAGGAUAUUAUGAAUGUUGAUUGUGACCAAACAUUUGUA